UGGGGAAUUUUGGACAAUGGGGGAAACCCUGAUCCAGCCAUCCCGCGUGUGCGAUGAAGGCCUUCGGGUUGUAAAGCACUUUUGGCAGGAAAGAAACGUCAUGGGUUAAUACCCCGUGAAACUGACGGUACCUGCAGAAUAAGCACCGGCUAACUACGUGCCAGCAGCCGCGGUAAUACGUAGGGUGCAAGCGUUAAUCGGAAUUACUGGGCGUAAAGCGUGCGCAGGCGGUUCGUAAAGAAAGAUGUGAAAUCCCAGAGCUCAACUUUGGAACUGCAUUUUUAACUACCGGGCUAGAGUGUGUCAGAGGGAGGUGGAAUUCCGCGUGUAGCAGUGAAAUGCGUAGAUAUGCGGAGGAACACCGAUGGCGAAGGCAGCCUCCUGGGAUAACACUGACGCUCAUGCACGAAAGCGUGGGGAGCAAACAGG
rnacentral:rRNA from 1 species